CUCUAGUGGCGGACGGGUGAGUAACACGUGAGAAUUUACCUUUAGGAGGGGGAUAACAAUUGGAAACGAAUGCUAAUACCCCAUAUGCUUCAGAGUGAAAUGGAUUUAUAUUUAUCCGCCUAAAGAGAAGCUCGCGGCUGAUUAGCUUGUUGGUAAGGUAAGAGCUUACCAAGGCGACGAUCAGUAUCUGGUUUGAGAGGACGAUCAGACACACUGGAACUGAGACACGGUCCAGACUCCUACGGGAGGCAGCAGUGGGGAAUUUUCCGCAAUGGGCGAAAGCCUGACGGAGCAAUACCGCGUGAGGGAAGACUGCCUAUGGGUUGUAAACCUCUUUUUUCAGGGAGGAAUAAAAUGACGUGUACCUGAAGAAUAAGCAUCGGCUAACUCCGUGCCAGCAGCCGCGGUAAGACGGAGGAUGCAAGUGUUAUCCGGAAUCACUGGGCGUAAAGCGUCUGUAGGUGGUUUAAUAAGUCAACUGUUAAAUCUUGAGGCUCAACUU
rnacentral:rRNA from 1 species